rnacentral:tRNA from 1 species
CGCCUCGUAGCUCAGUUGGCUAGAGCAUUGGCUGUUUUGAAGCCUUCCAUUUCUGGAGUGGGUUAAAAUUCCACCGAGGCCG